UUUUGUGGAUGAGCAAAGAAAGUAGUUUCUUGAGAUGAAAUCUACUUUUGGUGAAGAUCCUGUAAA
rnacentral:pre_miRNA from 4 species